rnacentral:tRNA from 1 species
AGUUUUAAUAGUUUAAGUAAAACAUUGAUUUUGUAAAUCAAAAAUAUUUUUUUUAAAAC